GUGGGGAAUCUUGCGCAAUGGGCGAAAGCCUGACGCAGCCAUGCCGCGUGAAUGAUGAAGGUCUUAGGAUUGUAAAAUUCUUUCACCGGGGACGAUAAUGACGGUACCCGGAGAAGAAGCUCCGGCUAACUUCGUGCCAGCAGCCGCGGUAAUACGAAGGGGGCUAGCGUUGCUCGGAAUUACUGGGCGUAAAGGGCGCGUAGGCGGACAGCUUAGUCAGAGGUGAAAGCCCAGGGCUCAACCUUGGAAUUGCCUUUGAUACUGGCUGUCUUGAGUUUGGGAGAGGUGAGUGGAACUCCGAGUGUAGAGGUGAAAUUCGUAGAUAUUCGGAAGAACACCAGUGGCGAAGGCGACUCACUGGCCCAAUACUGACGCUGAGGCGCGAAAGCGUGGGGAGCAAAAGGGAUUAGAAACCCUAGUAGUCC
rnacentral:rRNA from 1 species